rnacentral:rRNA from 1 species
GUUAAGUUGCAGGGUAUAGACCCGAAACCCGGUGAUCUAGCCAUGGGCAGGUUGAAGGUUGGGUAACACUAACUGGAGGACCGAACCGACUAAUGUUGAAAAAUUAGCGGAUGACCUGUGGCUGGGGGUGAAAGGCCAAUCAAACCGGGAGAUAGCUGGUUCUCCCCGAAAGCUAUUUAGGUAGCGCCUCGUGAAUUCAUCUCCGGGGGUAGAGCACUGUUUCGGCUAGGGGGCCAUCCCGGCUUACCAACCCGAUGCAAACUGCGAAUACCGGAGAAUGUUAUCACGGGAGACACACGGCGGGUGCUAACGUCCGUCGUGAAGAGGGAAACAACCCAGACCGCCAGCUAAGGUCCCAAAGUCAUGGUUAAGUGGGAAACGAUGUGGGAAGGCCCAGACAGCCAGGAUGUUGGCUUAGAAGCAGCCAUCAUUUAAAGAAAGCGUAAUAGCUCACUGGUCGAGUCGGCCUGCGCGGAAGAUGUAACGGGGCUAAACCAUGCACCGAAGCUGCGGCAGCGAACGUAUCACCCAAGACAACUUUACGGAGUUGACGAUUGACGGAGCGAAGCGAC